UACGUAGGGGGCUAGCGUUGUCCGGAAUCAUUGGGCGUAAAGAGCGUGUAGGCGGCCCGGUAAGUCCGCUGUAAAAGCCAAAGGCUCAACCUUUGAAUGUCAGUGGAUACUGUCGGGCUAGAGUCCGGAAGAGGCGAGUGGAACUCCUGGUGUAGCGGUGGAAUGCGCAGAUAUCAGGAAGAACACCAACGGCGAAGGUAGCUCGCUAGGACGGUACUGACGCUGAGACGCGAAAGCGUGGGGAGCGAACAGG
rnacentral:rRNA from 1 species